UACGGAGGGAGCUAGCGUUGUUCGGAAUUACUGGGCGUAAAGCGCACGUAGGCGGCUUUGUAAGUUAGAGGUGAAAGCCCGGGGCUCAACCCCGGAACUGCCUUUAAGACUGCAUCGCUUGAAUCCAGGAGAGGUGAGUGGAAUUCCGAGUGUAGAGGUGAAAUUCGUAGAUAUUCGGAAGAACACCAGUGGCGAAGGGCGGC
rnacentral:rRNA from 1 species